AGUCGACGAAGUAGCAAUACUUAGUGGCAGACGGGUGAGUAACAUGUGGGUAUCUUCCCUUUGGUGAGGAAUAACACGAGGAAACUUGUGCUAAUACCUCAUAAGUCUUUACGGAGAAAGCUUUAUGCGCCAAUGGAUGAGCCCGCACUUGAUUAGUUUGUUGGUGGGGUAAUGGCCUACCAAGACUUUGAUCAAUAGCUGAUCUGAGAGGAUGAUCAGCCACAUUGGGACUGAGACACGGCCCAAACUCCUACGGGAGGCAGCAGUAGGGAAUAUUGCACAAUGGAGGAAACUCUGAUGCAGCGAUGCCGCGUGAGUGAAGAAGGCCUUUGGGUUGUAAAGCUCUUUCGUCGGGGAAGAAAAUGACGGUACCCGAAUAAGAAGGUCCGGCUAACUUCGUGCCAGCAGCCGCGGUAAUACGAAGGGACCUAGCGUAGUUCGGAAUUACUGGGCUUAAAGAGUUCGUAGGUGGUUAAAAAAGUUGGUUGUGAAAUCCCGAAGCUUAACUUCGGAACUGCAAUCAAAACUUUUUAGCUAGAGUAUGAUAGAGGAGAGCAGAAUUUCUAGUGUAGAGGUGAAAUUCGUAGAUAUUAGAAAGAAUACCAAUUGC
rnacentral:rRNA from 1 species